rnacentral:rRNA from 1 species
UACGUAGGGUGCAAGCGUUGUCCGGAAUUAUUGGGCGUAAAGAGCUCGUAGGCGGUCUGUUACGUCUGCUGUGAAAACCCUGGGCUUAACCCUGGGCUUGCAGUGGAUACGGGCAGACUAGAGGCAGGUAGGGGAGAAUGGAAUUCCCGGUGUAGCGGUGAAAUGCGCAGAUAUCGGGAGGAACACCAGUAGCGAAGGCGGCACUCUGGGCCGUGACUGACGCUGAGGAGCGAAAGCGUGGGGAGCGAACAGG